CUGAGGUUACUGCUAUCUGAGAUUCGACUAAGGCCAUGCGAGUUGAAUGUUCUUCGUGAACAUGGCGGACUGCUCAGUAACACGUGGACAACCUACCCUUGGGUCCGGCAUAAUCCUGGGAAACUGGGAAUAAUUCCGGAUAGGUCACCGAUGCUGGAAUGCGCGGUGGCCGAAAGCUCCGGCGCCCGAGGAUGGGUCUGCGGCCUAUCAGGGUUGUAGUGGGUGUAACGUACCUACUAGCCUACGACGGGUACGGGUUGUGAGAGCAAGAGCCCGGAGAUGGAUUCUGAGACACGAAUCCAGGCCCUACGGGGUGCAGCAGGCGCGAAAACUUUACAAUGCGGGAAACCGUGAUAAGGGGAUCUCGAGUGCCAGCAUAUAAUGUUGGCUGUCCAGAUGCCUAAAAAGCAUCUGUUAGCAAGGGCCGGGCAAGACCGGUGCCAGCCGCCGCGGUAACACCGGCGGCCCGAGUGGUAACCGCUAUUAUUGGGUCUAAAGGGUCUGUAGCCGGCCAGGUAAGUCCCUUGGGAAAUCUGGCAGCUCAACUGUCAGGCUGCUAGGGGAUACUGUUUGGCUUGGGACCGGGAGAGGUGAGAGGUACCUUGGGGGUAGGGGUGAAAUCUUGUGAUCCUCGAGGGACCACCAGUGGCGAAGGCGUCUCACCAGAACGGGUCCGACGGUAAGGGACGAAAGCUAGGGGCACGAACCGGAUUAGAUACCCGGGUAGUCCUAGCCGUAAACGAUGCUCGCUAGGUGUCAGUCACGGUGCGACCGUGAUUGGUGCCGUAGGGAAGCCGUGAAGCGAGCCACCUGGGAAGUAUGGCCGCAAGGCUGAAACUUAAAGGAAUUGGCGGGGSAGCCACYMSAACGGGUGGAGCCUGCGGUUUAAUUG
rnacentral:rRNA from 1 species